UUGUGAUUGGUGGGUUCUGCCGCGGCCGGGAAGUUCGAACAGAAGUCUGGGGAAGAGCCGGCGAAGAGCAAAGAGAUAAUACAGUACUCCCAGCUAUAGCAAGCGGCAGUUAUGGAGCAUGCGCAGCAGCAGGGGCGGCCGCAGGUCGCCGUUCAAUAAUACUCAAGGGAUUUGUACAGCCCUGUAGGAGACACCUCCAGAGAAAGUAACAGCUCUCAAUUGAUUAGCUGAGAAGCCUCAGGGGCUGGAUCCUGACAUGAACCAGACACCUCCAGAAUUCUAUCCCAAGCAAAAGAUUAUUUCAAGGCCAGAACUCACUCCCUGCUGGAGACUGACUACAAGAUCCACUGAGAUUGAUGUGUAACCUGAUUGGGCCCACAGUGAUGCUAGCCCCUUCACCAGAUGGAACAAUAAUUCCAGACAAGCCAUCAGAGCAGAGAGCAGAGAAGAGGAGAAGCAGCUGGAUGUCAGAGACUGCAGUUUGACGUUGGAGAAAAGCAGCUUGACUUCAGAGGGACAGCUUGACAGCAUGGAUUCAGAGAGGAGAAGAUCACCUUCCUGCUCCGUCCCCUUUCCAGCUCCCUUUCCCACUGAGAGCCACUUACACAGGCAAUAAAAUCCUCUGCAUUCACCACCCUUCAAUUCAUUCAUGCAACCUGAUUUUUUUCUGGAUGCUGAACAUGAGCUCAGGUACCAUGGGUGCAGAUGCAAAAGGCUGUCACACUGACCCUGUGCCCUUGCUGGCAGAAAGCAGCUGCCUCAUGCAAAAAGGCAGAGGGCCACUGAGCUGUCAA
rnacentral:lncRNA from 1 species